AGUCUUAUAUUCAACUAUGAUUUUAAAUUGCAAAUUUAAAGGUAAAUUAAACUUUUAAGGCUU
rnacentral:tRNA from 1 species